rnacentral:rRNA from 1 species
UACGAAGGGUGCAAGCGUUAUUCGGAAUUACUGGGCGUAAAGCGUGCGUAGGCGGUUUGUUAAGUCCGCUGUGAAAGCCCUGGGCUCAACCUGGGAAUUGCAGUGGAUACUGGCAAGCUAGAGUGCGGUAGAGGAUGGUGGAAUUCCAGGUGUAGCGGUGAAAUGCGUAGAUAUCUGGAGGAAUACCGGUGGCGAAGGCGGCAUCCUGGGCCGGCAUUGACGCUGAUGGGCGAAAGCUAGGGGAGCAAACGGG